rnacentral:misc_RNA from 1 species
GAAAUGCGAUAAGUAAUGUGAAUUGCAGAAUUCAGUAAAUCAUCGAAUCUUUGAACGCACCUUGCGCUCCUUGGUAUUCCUUGGAGCAUGCCUGUUUGAGUAUCAUGAAAUCUUCAAAGUAAAUCUUUUGUUAACUCAAUUGGUUUCUACUUUGGUAUUGGAGGUCUUUGCAGCUUCACACCUGCUCCUCUUUGUUCAUUAGCUGGAUCUCAGUGUUAUGCUUGGUUCCACUUGGCGUGAUAAGUUAUCUAUCGCUGAGGACACUGUAAAAGGUGGCCAAGGUAAAUGCAGAUGAACCGCUUCUAAUAGUCCAUUGACUUGGACAAUACUUUUAUGAUCUGAUCUCAAAUCAGGUAGGACUACCCGCUGAACUUAAGC